AUUACUAUUCCUUCUUUAAACGGCCAAGAAGCAGAAUAUUUCUAUGAAACUGCAACGCCUUUUCGUUACCAUUACGUCUCAAUAACAAUUCGCACAGACCAGGCAAACGGACUGAAUAUUGAUGGUUCUACCGUCAGUCGUUCCGAUGAACUGAAAACAACGAUAAAGACUACAGAGUUCAGUGUUAUUCGGCUGUCUGUUACCGUGGGAAAGCACCACAUUUACCACAUGGACACCUACGUGCGUUUCGGUGUGAUCGUUUACGGGUUUGAUUCUCAUGAAUCCUACGGGUUUCCGCUGGGACUACCAUGACGGACCACGAGAC